rnacentral:rRNA from 1 species
UACGUAGGUGGCAAGCGUUGUCCGGAAUUACUGGGCGUAAAGGGCGCGUAGGCGGCCCGUCAAGUCCCGUGUGAAAGCCCCCGGCUCAACCGGGGAACGGCGCGGGAAACUAGCAGGCUUGAGUUCGGGAGAGGGAAGCGGAAUUCCGGGGUGUAGCGGUGAAAUGCGCAGAUAUCCGGAGGAACACCGGUGGCGAAGGCGGCUUCCUGGCCGACACUGACGCUGAGACUCGAAAGCGUGGGGAGCAAACAGG